rnacentral:rRNA from 1 species
AACGUAGGUACCGAGCGUCAUCCGGAUUUACUGGGCGUAAAGCGCGUUCAGGCGGCUCAGCAAGUCGGGCAUGAAAUCUCUCGGCUCAACCGGGAGGGGCUGUCCGAAACUGCUGGGCUUGAGGGCAGUAGAGGGUGGUGGAAUUCCGGGUGUAGUGGUGAAAUGCGUAGAUAUCCGGAGGAACACCAGUGGCGAAAGCGGCCACCUGGACUGUACCUGACGCUCAAGCGCGAAAGCUAGGGGAGCGAACGGG